GCUUACGGCCAUACCACCCUGAACACGCCUGAUCUCGGAAGCUAAGCAGGGUCGGGCCUGGUCAGUACUUGGAUGGGAGACCGCCUGGGAAUACCAGGUGCUGUAAGCU
ensembl:rRNA 5S_rRNA 5S ribosomal RNA